rnacentral:rRNA from 1 species
GACGAACGCUGGCGGCGUGCUUAACACAUGCAAGUCGAACGGAAAGGCCCUGCUUUUGUGGGGUGCUCGAGUGGCGAACGGGUGAGUAACACGUGAGUAACCUGCCCUUGACUUUGGGAUAACUUCAGGAAACUGGGGCUAAUACCGGAUAGGAGCUCCUGCUGCAUGGUGGGGGUUGGAAAGUUUCGGCGGGUGGGGAUGGACUCGCGGCUUAUCAGCUUGUUGGUGGGGUAGUGGCUUACCAAGGCUUUGACGGGUAGCCGGCCUGAGAGGGUGACCGGGCACAUGGGGAAGUAGGUGAGGCCCGGGAGCCGUGGGGGAGCAGAAGGGGGGAAAGUUAGACAAAUGGAGGGAGGCGGAUGGAGGAAUGCCGGGGGGGGGGUGGGCGACUUUGGGUGUGAAACAGGUAUCCCCGGGGAAGGAAGGGGGGUGAAGGUAAUGGGUAAAGAAGCAACGGCUAAAUAAGGG